CCCGCCGAGGCGGGGUCGUCCUCCUACCGGACGCUUGUCUCCUAGCCUUCUCCCCUCCGACCCUUUCCCUGUGCCUCCCCCAUCUCCAGUUUCUACUGUUCCUCCGCGCCCACCCCCUGGGGAUGCGCUUCCUCACUCCUCCGUCCUGCGUAGCCGUUACGGCCGGCGGAUUCGCCCCCCACGACUUGGACUUUAGAGUGUCUAUUUUUGUUGGGUUGAAUUCUGGGGGGACAUGUGUAGUGACUCCUAUUUACAUAAUUCACCACCAACUGCAAACACUUACAGUAAUUG